UGGAGGUUUUCCACUAAAAUCACAAAUAUCAGACGAUGUGUGACAGGACAGGCUAGUGGGCUACUUGCUGCCUGCGGGCGCCAUGUUGGUGAGGCCGGGUUUAGAUCAUGGUUGUUGUUUUUGUCCUUCUCAACAUCCCACAGCUUGUCUGAACUUCUGCUUCCUCCGCACACCUGGGCGACCUCACCAAUCACCACACCUGACCCUUGUUCGGUGUUGGUCUGUCCUGGCGUGUGGUGCCGGGGCCACUUUCUGUUGGCUCUCGUCUAAAAUUCAACUCUCCUUUCACAUCAGAAGCACCAAACAGAUUUCAUCGACGUGACAGGAGUUGAUGUUUCCCAGAAAGCACUUUAUUUUAUUUCAGGUUUAGAACAUUGUAAACAACUU